AGAGUUUGAUCCUGGCUCAGAACGAACGCUGGCGGCGUGCCUAAUACAUGCAAGUCGAACGAGAAAGUGCCUUCGGGCAUAAGUACAGUGGCAGACGGGUGAGUAAUACAUAGGUAACUUACCUCCAAGAUGGGGAUAACCUUCCGAAAGGAGGGCUAAUACCGAAUGAGACCACAGUUACAUGCGUAACAGCGGUCAAA
rnacentral:rRNA from 1 species